rnacentral:lncRNA from 1 species
CCCAGGUGCAGCUGGUGCAGUCUGGCCAUGAGGUGAAGCAGCCUGGGGCCUCAGUGAAGGUCUCCUGCAAGGCUUCUGGUUACACUUGAACCAGGAAUGCAGUGGUACUAUGCAGACUCUGUGAAGGGCCGAUUCAUCAUCUCCAGAGACAAUUCCAGGAACAUGCCAGGCUGGUCUCAACUCCCCCCCAGCCCUUUGGGAGGCCGAGGCGGGCAGAUCACCUGAGGUCUGGAGUUCCAC